rnacentral:lncRNA from 1 species
GAUAAAGUAUUGAAAGCGUCUUGUAGCUGUGGGUUACGUAAACCUAUAUGAAUGGAUGACAAUGAAAGGGCAAGGCUUCAUUAAGUAGGAGGACCAUGUUUUAAAAAGGCAACAACUUUGCCCCAGACAAAUAGAAUGAUUGACUAUGGGACAAGAUGGACAAACUAAAAUAAUCACCGAACAAUGUUAAAUCAGUGACAAAAACAAGAGACAAAUAAACCCAUCCAUUUACUUCAUCCUGGGGCUGCUUUAGAUUUAGGCCUUUGAUGUGGUUUAUGCAGCCUCACACGUAUAGUAUACGGAGACAGUGGCAGGCAUGAAGGUUUCGGAGCUGGAUCCACAAUAUCUUCCAAGGUAUGCCCGUAUGUGUACACAACGAAGCACUAUUCGGCCAUGAAAAAGAAGAAUAAUCUGUCAUUCAUGGCAACAUGGAGGACAUUAUGCUAAGUGAAAUAAGCCAGAGAGAAAGACAAAUACUAUAUAAGCUCACGCAUGCAGAAUCUAAAAAAGCUGAUCUCAUAAAAGUAGAGAAUAAAAUGGUGGUUACCAGAGGUUGGGGUGGCUGUGAAGAGGACUGGGGAGA